rnacentral:rRNA from 1 species
GACAGAGGGUGCAAGCGUUGUUCGGAAUUAUUGGGCGUAAAGGGCGCGUAGGCGGUUUAGUAAGUCAGAUGUGAAAGCCCAGGGCUCAACCUUGGAAGUGCAUCUGAGACUGCUGAACUAGAGUAUCGGAGAGGGUGGUGGAAUUCCCAGUGUAGAGGUGAAAUUCGUAGAUAUUGGGAGGAACACCGGUGGCGAAGGCGACCACCUGGACGAAUACUGACGCUGAGGCGCGAAAGCGUGGGGAGCAAACAGG